GGACAUUUAGCUCAGUUGGUCAGAGCAUCCGGCUCAUAACCGGACGGUCCCGGGUUCGAGUCCCUGAAUGUCCA
rnacentral:tRNA from 1 species